rnacentral:rRNA from 1 species
GCAUGCCUAAGUACAGCUCGAUACUUGUAUCGGGCGAAACCGCAGACGGCUCAUUAAAUCAGUUGUGGUCUAAGUGGGCGACAGUUUUCCCUAGUUGGAUAACUGUGGAAAAUCCAGAGCUAAUACAUGCGACACAAAGUCCUCAGGAGACGCUAGCUUUACCCCUGGUAAACUCCUUUGGAUGCUUUUAUUAGACCGAAGCGCGCGCAUUCGGGACUCAGCACCUCGUUUCGGCGGGGCUGCGGUUCUCCGUGCGACGUAGUAAGCGCUUGAAGGUGACUCUGGAUAACAUUGAUAAGCGUGGCUUAAUUGCUACGCUGCCUACUUACGAGUGACUGACCUAUCAGCUAGGAAGGUAUGUUAUACGCAAACCUUGGCACUGACGGGUAACGGGGAAUCAGAGUUCGAUUCCGGAGAGGCAGCCUGAGAAACGGCUACCACGUCUAAGGACGGCAGCAGGCACGCAAAUUACCCAAUCCCAGCACCUGGGGGAGGUAGUGACGAUAGAUACUGAUGCGGGUCGUUCUUCGGAACACUCGCAAUUGGAAUGGAUAUUUUCUAAACACACUAAUGAGAACCUACUGGAGGGCAAGCCUGGUGCCAGCAGCCGCGGUAAUUCCAGCUCCAGUGGCGUAUGCCAAUGUUGCUGCGGUUAAAAGGCUCGCAGUUGAAUGUCAGUUAAUAUACGCGUAGAGGUGCCGGGACGUUGCGAGCUUCUUUCGUCAGAUCGUAGCGAGCCGUCUCUCCAAGUGCAUCUCUCGCGGGCUAACGAUUCGAUUAACGGGGUCGGCGAUCGGGACCCGCAAGGGAUUCGGUCUCCAAUACCCUGUUAGUUGACACCUUGAGUAAAUCAGAGUGCUUAAAGCAGUCGUUGAAACACUACGGCUGCGGCUUACCCUUGCGGGCUUAGUCGUGUGUCUGGUGACGGUGCGAGCCGUUUGGACAUUGUCUUUGCUUUGCAUGGUACGUCGAAAGACGCCGUGUGAGUUGGUUGCGCUUAUGGUGUCUGGUGUCGUAUGGGUAAAGUAUGCGCGGGCGCCAACAAGCACGGAAUGAUCUGAAAGGGAUGGCUCGAAGGCAUUGGUAUUGCGGGGCUAGAGGUGAAAUUCUAUGACCCCCGCAAGACUACCCGAAGCGAAAGCGUCUGCCUAGGACGUCUUCAUUAAUCAUGAACGAAAGUUGCAGGAUCGAAGGCGAUCAGAUACCGCCCUAGUUGUAACUGUAAACGAUACCAACCAUCAAUCCGUCAUAGCGUUCUCUUUUGCUUAGGGAGGCGAACUUGUUCUCUUCCUAAGCUGAGUGUAAGCGCUCGAUGGGCAGCUCUAUUCGGACGGAAAACCAGAGUUUUUCGGUUCCGGGGGGAGUCUGGUUGCAAAGCUGAAACUUAAAGGAAUGACGAAA